UGCAAUUAUCGUCAAUUCUGAUAAUUCUCUCUGAUCAUCACCCUCCCUCAAUAAGAUUCUGCUUCGUUCCAAUACUCGUCACUGCUUCUGACCCGUAACGCUUCUUUCGAUAGCCUCGAAAGGACCCAAGAUAUCUAAACAUGUGUAUGAUCUUUAAGUAUGUAUAAGAAAAUUCAUGUAUGCCAUAUGCUGACGAGAGUACGAUAUCAGUGGGUUGGAUAACAAUCCAAGUGGAAUUCACUCGGAUCUGACACUCUGUUGCUAACCGAGCAACGUCCAUGUUCAACACUGUACAAAGCUAUAGCCUAUGUGCUUGCCCUUCACUCUCAAUCCCCAUGACGAUCACCAUUAUACCAAAAAGAGUCCUUCUCAUCGUCCCCAUCCUCAUCGACCCUGCAACUUAUUGUAUUAUGUAGCUGUAUAUAUCAGCUCUUUACGAUAUACCGCAUUUCCUAUGUCUUACAGUACGAGAACUGUUGACCAAUGAUACAAAUGAGGUGGGAAGAAUACAGAAAUAAAAAUAGGAGAUUGGUACAUAAAGAAUGGGAAAUAAUGGCCACCACGAUGAUGACGACCACGACGGCGGCAGUCCUGUGACUUGAGGUAUAUUUAAUUCAACGUUGCCUCCGCCACUGGUGCUCGAGAAAUAGUUGUGGAAACGUUGACCUGCACGUGGAAAGCCGAUGUCCUACGCACUUCUUCCAUCCCUCAUUCUUUAAUUAAACAUGAAACUCAAAGAAAUUGCUAAAUACUGUUUUUUAUUGUUACAUUUAUCGAAGAAGGCUCUCAGUCCGCGAUGAAGAGACGAAGUUGAUAAGUUGCUAGUGUAUAAGCGCCUAGGUAAUUACGGACGGUUAAAUGAGGGCUAAAUGUAUAAUUCUAAAAUGGUUAAAAGACAAAUGAAAUGCCUGACAAUAAGACAUUUCACUGCUGUUACAGGAAAACUUUCUCUGAUGACUGUUUCCACUAUUUGCAGAGUAUAUGGACACGACAUAUGUUCACAUCUGUCGCGCACGUUCCACCAUAAGUUUCAUAACCUAAGGAUGUGCCAGUAGUCUUCAGGAAGUUCGGACAAUUUAGGAAAGUUAAAGAAAUUCACCGAGGCAGAUCGGGGGGAAGGAUGCAAAAUCUGGGCAAAGGACGUCCAGCGUUACUUGGCAAACAAGAAUGAGGAGGUAGGACGUCGAAAGCCUAAAAUCGAUAUUCUUACGUAAGCGGUCAUGAAACGAUACGUGGUAGAGGUUUAGGUGGAUGAAAAAAGGAAAAAAUAAAAAAAGUAGACAUGGUGAUAAAAGGCAAAGGUCGAGAAGGACUCACCUCCUUUCCCCCAUCCACAUACUGACACAAGAAAACACGGGGUCGCAAGGUCUUCUGCAGAUAAUAUUAACAACGUUCGUUAUACAUAGAUGCAGUCUUACGUAAAAUAUGCUGUAGGUGCCGGUUCAGUGCGAGGACACGGGAGAUGGGAGAGAACUUCCGGCCUAUCGGCUGGAUUAUGGGCCUUCGUCAUUCGUAAUACCUCAUGGUUCCUAAUGGCUGUUGCUAGUUCUCCAUGUCAACGCUGUGCUGCCAAGAGAGCGCAGCACCCGCAACCGACACCACAGCGCACCGAAUCGGAUUCCAUGCCCCUACAGCACUUCGAGUCCCCACUACAUAUCGUAAGGACGUGUGCGCUUUCGGUACAAUCGCUGCCGUUGUCGUUUUUGUUGGCGUUGCUGCUGUUGCUGCCGCUGCCAUCGUGGCCACCACCUCCAACGCCGGCGCACCUAUCGCCGCCACACGCAGCCCUCGUCAGCUGCCGCACAGUUCAGUUCGUGUCGGUCCUUCUGCUCGUGAGGUUCUGUUCUCGGAUUGUUUCUUUUGCUUGUUGCCCGCUACGUGUUACUCAUCUUCUACGCUAUUCGAUCUUCUGAUACUUAAUAGUGCUUUAUCGAGCGCUCAACGUUCUCAUUACGUUUGCAACGAAAAGUGUCAUCGUCAUUCUGAAAUACUGAGGUACUACACUAUUCCCGCGAGUCUCUCAAAAGAGAUAGCAGAACAAUCUUCUUUAUAUACCACUUUAAUUCGCCUCUUCUUAAUAUUACUUAAAUAGUUUUCUUUUUAUUAUAUUGCACAGUACAGCAAUUAGAUAUUCUGUCGAAACUAUCAGCUGGCGAUUCAUUCCAUUCAUUCUCUUUCUCUCCCAAGAUACCAUCAUCUUUCAGCAUGCCACCAAGUCACCAAAUUACCAGAUCAUCGUAUUAACGAAUCGCCGGGGACUCUGUCUCCCUUUUACCCUCGUCUGCCUGCAUCCUUAUUCACUUACGUGUACCCUGGCCUAUCACUGUGGUCAUGGCAAUGAAUUGUUUCGGCACCGCAGGGAAAUAAAGUAACGUGCGCAGGAAGCUUUUUUCAUGUAUUUUGAUGCUUAGAGAAUGCAAAAGAUUUCGCGAGGUGGUAUACGGAAUCCAGACGGAAAUUGAAUAUCUUCGUGACACGUGCCUAUUCAGUGAAUGCUUAUUACUCGUUGAUCAUCGUAGGUUAGCUGAAAGUAAAAUAUACCAAGCGUGAACCUGUGCAUAUCGUUUGAGAGUGCGAGUCGUCGGAUGGAGUGAUGAUUAGAUAUUGCGAGAAGCUAACUAGCUCCAGCUAGACACUCGAGAAAGUUAACUUACAGUAAUAGCUUCAUCAUGCUCUCGUUUGCCAUACUGCUAAUCGUCAUCAAAGAACGGCUGAAUCCUUUCAAGGAUUGCCGGCCAUGCAAUAACAAAGGGGAUCGAGACCAGCUGUAUCCAGUGAGUCCUAUAGACAGUUUCUCUUAGAGGAUCCGAGGGAGAUGGAAAAGUUAGGUGAUAAAGGUGAAGAGGAACCGAAGAAGGCAAAGGGUGAACUAACCGGUCCGUGGUCCGUGGCUCGAGAUUGGCUUGACUUCACUUGGCUCGGCUUGGCUUAUCCAGUCAAUGAACUCUAGAGUCCCGCAGCGUGACACUGACCCCUCUCGGGUAAACGUCCCUGCGACGCUUUAUUAAUGCGGCAAAGCGAAGAGCGUGUGCGAUCAAGGCAAACUAUAAGACUAUUCAAGCGACGGUGUACAUUUUGGAAACUGCAUGGAAUCGCCCGGACAGGCCAAGCGAUUUCCUUGAGCAAAGGUUAAUCGAGGGAGAACUGGCAUUGUGACUAUGCGCGAGCAAGCUAACCUAGUGAAGAUAGGGAUGUGCACGUUGAUGUAAGUGAAUGAGUAGGCAAGUAGACAAGAAUGCAUGAAUAUGUACGCAACGGGUCGGGGCCAUAGUUUACAUAUUCAUCGACAGGAGGCCACUUGCUUCCGUUGUCAGCAACUUCGGCAUUGCUAUUGUACUUUAUUCACUUCUGAAUACGUCUUAUCGAAAGUAAAGCACACAUCCAGCCGGUC